AGCGAACGCUGGCGGCAGGCCUAAUACGUGCAAGUCGAGCGCACCUUCGGGUGAGCGGCGGACGGGUGAGUAACGCGUGGGAAUAUGCCCUUUGGUACGGAACAACUGAGGGAAACUUCAGCUAAUACCGUAUGUGCCCUACGGGGGAAAGAUUUAUCGCCAUUGGAGUAGCCCGCGUUGGAUUAGCUAGUUGGUGGGGUAAAGGCCCACCAAGGCGACGAUCCAUAGCUGGUCUGAGAGGAUGAUCAGCCACACUGGGACUGAGACACGGCCCAGACUCCUACGGGAGGCAGCAGUAGGGAAUCUUGCGCAAUGGGCGAAAGCCUGACGCAGCCAUGCCGCGUGAAUGAUGAAGGUCUUAGGAUUGUAAAAUUCUUUCACCGGGGAAGAUAAUGACGGUACCCGGAGAAGAAGCCCCGGCUAACUUCGUGCCAGCCGCCGCCGUAAGAC
rnacentral:rRNA from 1 species